CCUACGGGUGGCAGCAGUGAGGAAUAUUGCUCAAUGGACGAGAGUCUGAACCAGCCAAGCCGCGUGAAUGAUGACUGCCCUAGGGGUUGUAAGCUUUUUCUAUAUGGGAGUAAAAUGUUCUACGUGUGGGAUAUUGUAUGUACCAUAAGUAUAAAGGACGGCCAACUCUGCGCCAGCAGACGCGGUAAUACGGAGGUUCCGAGUGUUAUGCGGAUUUAUUGGGCUGAACGGGAACGUAGGUGGAUCGUUAAGUCAGUUGUGAAGGUCUGGGGCUCAACCGUAGAAGUGCAGUUGAUACUGGCAGUCUUGAGUACAGUAGAGGUGGGCGGAAUUCGUGGUGUAGCGGUGAAAUGCGUAGAGAUCACGAGGAACACCGAUUGCGAAGGCAGCUCACUGGACUGGAACUGACGCUGAGGCGCGAAAGUGUGGGGAGCAAACAGGAUUAGAUACCCCAGUAGUC
rnacentral:rRNA from 1 species